GUGCUUGCGCAGGCGCGGUCGGCUAUUGACUCGAGGAGCGGUUGGCGGCGGCCGUAGUUGGCGCGCGGCGGAAAGAAAGGCCGGAAGCGCCAGCACGGACGUCGCGUCCUCCCCCUCUUUCCGCUUCCCGCCCCGGUGGCCCCGGCGUCCCGUCGGCGUGGCAACCCUGUUCCCUCGCGCGCCUUUGCCGCUCCUUCGGCCGCGGAUGCAGCGCCGCGAGGAUCUCGCCGCCGCCGCCCGCCUGGGCCGGGCGCCGGGCCCCGCCGUGGCGGCCCGGCUCCAGUCGCCUCACGCGGCGGCUUCCCCGCGGCGGCCGGCUCGCGGCGGCGGCGGCGGCGGGGGAGGAGCGCGCGGGCCGCAGCCGCCGCCGCUCCUGCCGCCCUCGGCCACCAGCUCGGCCCCGCCGGCGCCCAGCGUGGCGCCCACCCCGCUGAUGCCGGGCGCCGUCUCGGCGGCCAAGAGCGAGCCCGAGAACAAGUACCUGCCCGAGCUGAUGGCCGAGAAGGACAGCCUGGACCCCUCCUUCACCCACGCCAUGCAGCUGCUGCAAGCAGAAAUUGAUAAAAUUCAAAAAGGUGAAUCAAAGAAGGAUGAAGAAGAGACCUAUCUGGACUUGUUUUCUCAUAAAAACAUGAAACUGAAGGAACGAGUUCUUAUACCGGUCAAGCAGUAUCCCAAGUUCAAUUUUGUUGGGAAGAUACUGGGCCCCCAAGGCAACACCAUCAAGCGAUUGCAGGAGGAAACUGGAGCAAAGAUUUCUGUCCUGGGGAAGGGAUCGAUGAGAGACAAGGCAAAGGAAGAAGAAUUGCGCAAAGGAGGCGAUCCAAAGUAUGCUCACUUAAAUAUGGAUCUGCAUGUUUUCAUUGAGGUCUUUGGCCCUCCUUGUGAGGCUUAUGCUCUCAUGGCCCAUGCCAUGGAAGAAGUCAAGAAGUUCCUCGUUCCGGAUAUGAUGGAUGAUAUCUGCCAGGAGCAAUUUUUGGAAUUGUCCUAUCUCAAUGGGGUGCCGGAGCCAACACGUGGCCGGGGGAUCUCUGUCCGUGGUAGGGGAGCAGUUCCCCCACCCCCACCUGUUCCUAGAGGACGCGGCGUGGGUCCUCCGCCGCCUCCCCGUGGAGCCCUUGUACGGGGUGCCCCAGUGAGGGGCGCAAUUGCAAGAGGAGCAGCUGUGAGCCGCGGAGUCCCCCCUCUCCCAGCAGUGAGGGGGGCCCCUUCCUCAAGAGCUCGCGCAGCCGGCAUUCAGAGAAUACCCCUCCCCCCUCCUGCACCAGAGACCUACGAAGAUUAUGGCUAUGACGAUGCUUAUGCUGAGCAAAGUUACGAAGGAUACGAAGGCUACUAUAGCCAGGGUCAACAGGAAACAGAAUAUUACGAUUAUGGACAUGGUGAAGCUCAAGAAUCUUAUGAGGCGUAUGGUCAAGACGACUGGAAUGGAACCAGGCCUUCUCUUAAGGCCCCCCCUGCAAGGCCAGUGAAGGGAGCCUAUCGAGAGCACCCCUACGGACGCUAUUAGAACAUUCAGCAGGGCCAAUUGCCCUUUUGAACAAACAGUUGUUUCUGAUUCUAGUGUCUCCCAGGAUUCCUCUUGCUUUACCACAACAGACAAGUAAUUGUCUCCCUGAUUUUUCUCUGGCUCCCUUUUUCUCCCACCUCCAUCCUCCCCCACCACUUGACCCUACAUUCUGCUUCUGUAUGUAGUAUUUUAAAUAAGUUAGAGUUAGAAAACUGAAUUCAACUUUUAAGUGUGUAGACUGCUUUUUCUUUCUCUGUUUAGAUAUAUAUAUAAAAAACAACAACUGUACCUUUAAAAAGAAAACUUUUGAGAUAAAAUGUUAGUUUCCAAAGUGACAUGCUUGCUUAACAGUUAUGGAAUUAAAGUUUGUUAAUCUUUAAAUUUUUUUUGUUUUGUUUUUUAGGCAACCCAUAAAAGUUCUAGUUGCAGAAUCCCAAAGUAGGCUACAUUUCAAAAUUCAGGGUUGUUUUUUUUUUAAUGAAUUAAAAUGUAACUAUAAUGAUUGCCACAGUUAAAAGCAAGGUCAGAUGUCAAAAUUUUGCCCUUAAAAGCAGAUUGCUUGAUUAAUCUUAACUUUAAACGUUAAUAGGAAGGAUCCUCCAGAACAAAUUAAAUGAUGGGGCAAGGGGUUUCCUUCAGUAGAUUUAACCUUUUUUUUAAAAAAAAAAAAAUUAGGUUUGUAGAAAGACUUCCAAUGUGGAUAUUGAAAUUUAUCCCCAAAUUCUGGGAUGCUAACAACAGAGGUUUUCAAGCGAAAGGUGUUCUUAGCUCAAUUGUGCAUGAAGAGAUUUUAAGAAAAUGGACAUCUAGCUGCUCUGUAAUUUUAUAUUGCUCUAACUGCCCAGUGUUUUGAUAUUAGGAAGUAUUAAAUAUAAGUAGCUGUGCAUUGUGUCUUUUUUUUCCCUUUAAUGAAAAGCUAACACGAGUGUUUGCAGUACAUAAUAUAGUUCAGGCUUACAAUUGGCAACAUUGUCAAGCUUUUAGUUAUUCCAGUGACAUGUUUGUGUGUCUCGACACUCGUAUUAUGUUAAAAAAGGGACAUUGCAGCUGAAAAACCAAGGAGAGAGCUUUUUUGUACAUAGAUUUGUACAUGUCCUCCCAUUUUGUUCUUGGAAGAUUAAAUGCUACUACGUGUGUAAGCUUGCCGAAAUAGGUAGCUAAAAAUUUGUCAAGAUGUCUGCAGCAGUUUGUCAAUAAAGUUCAGUCCUUUUUUUAAUCAAAGUAAAUGUGAUGAAUUGUCAUUUUUUUUUUAAUUCUGGUCAAGCAGUAAAAUAGAUUUUCCUCUUUCAAUAAAAUUUAAAUUAAUGUUAAACAACAUGGUCUGUUUUCUUAAAAAAAAAAAGACUUAAAAGCAGAAAAGAUAAAAUGGUAUACUCUGAAACUUUAAAACUUUUAUGAAGCCAAACGAGCUUAAUUUUAAAACAAAACUGUUUUUCACCCCCUGGAAGUUGAACAAGGCUUCAAGCUGCUGCAUAAAUGUUUUUGCUUUACCUUUCUUAAACCUGCUGUUCCUGGGGAAGUACUAGAUUUCAGCAUCCCCAACUUGGGGAUGGUAAGAUUCAGUCCAAUCCUUCUGGAGGGCACUGGUUAAGGAAAGCCUUUCCUUUCUCUCCCGGCUAUUGACCUUCCACCUCUAGGUAGCGAUGCUGUGCUGUCCCCUUGCAACCAGAGUUGAUUUCAAAAGGGCACAGCCCCCUCCCUUUUGUGGCUGCUUGCCCAAGGCACGUCCCCCUGGAUGUACCCUCCACCGAACGCCAGGCACGGUUGGGCCAAACCAUUGUCAAUUUGUGCAAUGUCCUAGAAAGUAAAAGUCCUUUAUACAAAAGAAAAGGGGUCUUGGAUGACCUGCCUCUUAACAGUCAAAAAUAAUGGCUUAUGCUGGGGGGCAGGCGGGCAGGUGAUUUCGCUGUGGCCCAUGACAAAGGGGCAUAAAACAGAACAUUGCAAAGCUGGCCAGUUCACACAGCCUCAGGUCACUGAAUUCCUGCCUCCAAGGAAUUUCCCUUUGGGGAAAAAAAAAAUCCAAGCCACCAUUGGCUAUAAGGCUAAUUGGCUGUUUGUCCCUGGUCUAAAACCAGAAUAGGUGGCUAUGUAAUAUUGUGGCUUGUUUCUCUGCUCCCUUCUUGGCCAUUUUUUUAAAAUUGGAUUUUCAUUGGGGAGGAACUGCUUGGGGGUGAAAAAAAAAAAUCCACUGUUACUGUCAAAUUGCUCACAGAAGUGCAUGAUUGAGGGAAAUUACUUUUAAAAACCAAAAACACAAAAAGGUUGUUAUUUUGUAGAUUGUUAUUUUAAAAAAAAUGUAAAUAACUGAAUUUUCCGCAACGGUUUGGAGUCAGCUUUCAGGGUUUAAUGUCUUGCUUGAUGAAAAGAUCGCCCCAACCCCCCUUUUAAAGGAAAAUUAUCGCAGGAGAAUUCAGGAUGUCUUAAAGCUAACAUGCACCGAAAAACUCAAAAGGUAGCGAUUGGCAGCUUGGAUGAAAAUGACAUUUGGUGAGAACAGGUUAGAUGGAGUCUUCAAAUCAAAGAAGAUGAUUUGGAAACAGCUUUUAUAAUAGAACAUAUUCUUAUCAAGUCUUGAAGAUUUCCCAAUCUUUUUCAACUCCAUAUGUACUGCACAGAACUUCAGAGAGGCUUAUUUUAUAAAUAAUGUAGUCCUUCCCAUUUAGCUUAUUUCACCAAGCUGUAAAUUUGGAAGUAUUAUAAAUUCUGGCUGACAUAAAAUGACAUUGCAGACUGAUACCUAUGCCUGUGUAAAGUGUUUCAACGAGAUCUGAAUAAUUUGGUGGUUUAUUGCUCCAUAAUUGCUCCAAUGCACUUUCAUAUUUUAAAACGGGUGUCAAACUGGACACAUCACCAGGAAACCACGCCCACCCCAUUGCCGGCAAUGGGGAAAAAGCUCCAAUAUGUCGUGCGACGUCACAUGAUGUCACAAGUUUGACAUGUCUAUUUUAAAAGAAUACACUGACUUUCUAGAAAUUCCUCUUUUUAUGGUUAUUACUGGAACAAAGAAGUGUGAUUUGGAUCUGUCUUCAUGUGCUAUGAUAGUACAUUUGAAUAAAGGUUCUUUUUUU